UACAGAGGUGGCAAGCGUUGUUCGGAAUUACUGGGCGUAAAGGGCGCGUAGGCGGCCUUGUAAGUCCUGUGUGAAAUCCCCCGGCUCAACUGGGGAACUGCACAGGAGACUGCUUGGCUUGAGUUCGGGAGAGGGAAGCGGAAUUCUGGGUGUAGCGGUGAAAUGCGUAGAUAUCGAGAGGAACACCUGCGGCGAAGGCGGGUUGCUGGGCUGAUACUGACGCUGAGGCGCGAAAGCCAGGGGAGCGAACGGG
rnacentral:rRNA from 1 species